UACGUAGGGUGCAAGCGUUGUCCGGAUUUAUUGGGCGUAAAGAGCUCGUAGGCGGUUCGGUAAGUCGGGUGUGAAAACUUUGGGCUCAACCCAAAGCGUGCACUCGAUACUGCCAUGACUAGAGUUCGGUAGGGGAGUGGAGAAUUCCUAGUGUAGCGGUGAAAUGCGCAGAUAUUAGGAGGAACACCGGUGGCGAAGGCGCUACUCUGGGCCGAAACUGACGCUGAGGAGCGAAAGCGUGGGUAGCAAACAGG
rnacentral:rRNA from 1 species